rnacentral:rRNA from 1 species
UGGGGAAUCUUGCGCAAUGGGCGAAAGCCUGACGCAGCAACGCCGCGUGGGGGAUGAAGGCUCUCGGGUUGUAAACCCCUUUCAGCAGGGACGAAAUUGACGGUACCUGCAGAAGAAGCCCCGGCUAACUACGUGCCAGCAGCCGCGGUAACACGUAGGGGGCAAGCGUUGUCCGGAUUUAUUGGGCGUAAAGAGCUCGUAGGUGGCUAAGUAAGUCGGGUGUCAAAUCCCCAGGCUCAACCUGGGUCUC